rnacentral:lncRNA from 1 species
CUAGACUGGUGUGUGCGUUGACCUCCUACCAAAUUCCGUCGUGGCAAGCGCCCUAGCAGACACGGCCGUUUAAUUUUGAAAAUUAAUUUUAUUAAAUCAAGUGAUUCAGUAUAUUUGUUGUGUGGAAAUCCCGAAUUAGGGUUUUUCCACCCGGCUAUAAGACGCCAGCAGCAGCAGCCUCGUGUUCGGUUUGUUACGAGCCGAGGUGUCGCCGUCGCGAUAGCUUCGUGCAGCACCGCGUGCACGUCAGCACCGUCUCCAUCCCUGUGACGUCACCGUACAGCACCGCAGUACAUCUCGGCCUACUUCCAUCUCCGGCCAGCGGCGUGAUUUCGCCGCCACUACAGGGGAGUACCUAUCCCUGCAGAAGUGACUUCAGACAAAGUUAUACCCACGACCCACAAAUCAAAUCUUUGUGUGCCUCCGGCUGUGGUUUUUUUUUUUUAUACAUUAUACAUUUUCUAAAAGGUACACACCCGUUUUUUUUUAUUUCUAUCACCUCGUAGGUGGGAAUCAAACGGGUGGAGGUUACACUGGCGCCCAAUUACGUGGUUUUGUCUGUUUUCGCUUCUGUAGUUAGUAGUUAGUUAUUGUACGGUGAGUGGGUAUUUUGUUUUUUUUAUUUUUGUAAAACGCUUUGUGUUUUUAUUUUGCAGCAACUGGAUUGAAGUCUUAUAUUCAAUUAAUUUCAGUUAUUAUAGUAUAUUGUUUUAACGUAAAAACUAUUUUUUUUUAUA